UGGGCUUAUUAAAAUUGAAACAACUGCACUCGCCACACAAAUCUUGCAAAAAUGCGUAUCACGGUUUUAUGUUGUUUUCUGCUGUUCAGCUGCGCUCUGUCUAGGACCGUGACGAAGGCGCUGACGGAGUCCCUCGGGCAAGAGGUUAUAGAGAUUGGAGCUCCGCUUAAAGAAAUUCAACCGGAUUUAGAAGAGGAACCGUCCAUGGAAAAGGAUGACGACACUACGAGAGCAGCCCCAGCCACUAAACGAGACGCCAAGAAGGCCCCUGGCUUGAUGGUGGAUGGAAGACGCAAGUUAAAGGACGUUGACAGGAUCGACGGGGUAGAGCAAGAGGACGACGAGCAACGUGUCGAGAAAGAGAUAGCUGACAUCUACAAGGACAACGACUACAAAGCGGACAGCAACGAGCUGAAAACCAGUGGCGAAGGCGAAACCGCUUUAAGACAGGGGAAGAAAACUGAUUUCGUGUUCGCGCCCAAGAACAUAAACGACCCCCAGCAGGUGGAGAAAUUCCGGACGUCCCCCGACUAUAUAGAUUGCAAAAAAAAGAAGCUCGCUAGCGUACAAGUUUCAGCCAGACUUGAAUAAUCCGAGAGAGGUGGAGCUCUUCCGGACCUCUCGGGACGAUUUAGCAUGCGAAAAGAAGUCGAAACUCGUCCAUGACACCAGGACUACCCCGAGUACUCAAAAGGCGGCAAGCACUUAUGUCAGUAUGGCGCUAUUUACUAUGUGCACCCUGGGUAUUUUCUACUCAUAAAUAAUAUGAAACACUUUUUUAUGUUUUGCCUUAUUUUACUUGUACGGUUAUAAAUUAUGAAGUAUGGAAUAAAUUAUGGUUUUUAACCCC